UACGAAGGGGGCUAGCGUUGUUCGGAAUGACUGGGCGUAAAGGGCUCGUAGGCGGUUUGUCGCGUCGGGAGUGAAAUCCACUGGCUUAACUGGUGGCUUGCUUUCGAUACGGGCAGACUGGAGGUAUGCAGGGGAGAACGGAAUUCCUGGUGUAGCGGUGGAAUGCGCAGAUAUCAGGAGGAACACCGGUGGCGAAGGCGGGUCUCUGGGCCGUUACUGACGCUGAGGAGCGAAAGCGUGGGGAGCGAACAGG
rnacentral:rRNA from 1 species